UCGCACCGAAACCCCCUAGAUCUCUCCUUCACCUCAUCUCUCUCUCACCCCUCGAUCCCUCCCUGACUCCCUGAUCACCCUCGUCUCUCUCUCACCCUCUUGAAAAAUCCUAGAUCCCUCCCUCACCCUUAUCUCUCUCUCUCACCCCCUUGAAAGUUGAGAGAGAGAGAGAGAGAGAGAGAGAGAGAGAGAGAUUGAAACUUAGGGAGAGAGUGAGUUUUUCAUGAUGUUUCCAUGCUCGAAAGCUUCACGUGUACCGGUUUGGUGUUAGGUGAUGGUGUUUGGGCAUGGCUGGGGUUCCGCAUCAUCAAUGGGGUUGAACGUGGGGUAGCAAUUGUAAUGAAAGGGAGUGAAGGUGGAGGUUUGAGGAGAUGCAAUGGUUUGCUACUAGUCCGAGUAAUAGGGGCAAAUUGAAGGGUGUAUGUGGUCGUGCGUGGUCUAGGGGAAAGAAAUCGUGAAGGCUGAACGGCUUGGGAGGAAUUGCCAUGCAUGGUGGGGUCCCUUGGAGGGCUUGCUGGUGAUUUCCUACAAGGUUGUUCAAGGCUUUGACAAUGGCAGAUUGGGUUGGAAUGGAGGGGAGGUCGCAGUACAAUACAACAUAGUCUGCUCGUGGGGGUGGUGUCGGACUACGUGGUGGUUACGUGUUAAUACUGAUUAUAUGUUUUUUUUAUAUAUGACAUGAGGGAUUUGAAUCUAAUUCUCCUGUUUAGAUAUUAGACCUUAUGUCAUCUACAGCAAAUGACCUUGGCAAUACUGAUUAUAUGUUUAGUAUCUUGAAAUAUAUUUAUAACAAUGUUGCAUCAUUUAUAUAGCAAAA